CUGGAGUCCCAGGUGUUCCCAUUCAGUGAUCAGCACUGAACACAGACUCACCAUGGAGUUGGGGCUGAACUGGCUUUUACUUGUUGCUCUUUUAAAAGGUGUCCAGUGUGAGGUGCAGCUGGUGGAGUCUGGUGGAGGCUUGGUGCAGCCUGGAAGAUCCCUGAAACUCUCCUGUGUAGCCUCUGGAUUUACCUUCAGUAACUACUGGAUGAGCUGGGUCCGCCAGGCCCCAGGGAAGGGGCUGGAGUGGAUUGGAGAAAUCAAAGGAGAUAGUAGCAAAAUAAAUUAUGCAACCUCUGUGAAGGGCUGAUUCACUAUCUCCAGAGACAAUUCCAAAAACACCCUGUACCUGCAAAUGAACAAUCUGAAAUCUGAGGACACAGCCACAUA